rnacentral:rRNA from 1 species
UACGAAGGGGGCUAGCGUUGCUCGGAAUCACUGGGCGUAAAGGGUGCGUAGGCGGCUCUUUAAGUCAGGGGUGAAAUCCUGGAGCUCAACUCCAGAACUGCCUUUGAUACUGAGGAUCUCGAGUUCGGGAGAGGUGAGUGGAACUGCGAGUGUAGAGGUGAAAUUCGUAGAUAUUCGCAAGAACACCAGUGGCGAAGGCGGCUCACUGGCCCGAUACUGACGCUGAGGCACGAAAGCGUGGGGAGCAAACAGG